CACGCUCUUCCGAGCUGGAAAAGUCGCCGCAACGGAAAAAUAUUUACGUGAAUGAACUGAAAAUAAUAUAACUGUAAUAAGGGACCGAAAACUUUUACUGUGACAAAGUUUCAGAAUUUUCGAUUUUUCUAUCCUGCAUAGCUGUAGGUGAUAUUUACAGGUAGCUGCUCUUAAGUCAUUAAGGUAAACAUAUCUG